GAUACCUAACCAUUCAUAUCGUACGAGGUGUGAGUAUUGCAUAUGAAAAUCCGAAAUGGGCAUUCGGAGCGUUGAAAAACAAUAACGAUCACAGUGAGGUCAAUGGUGGGGAAAACGAUGUGUUUACGUUUACGAAGAUAGAGACGCGGAUUAUAAAAACAAUGUCGCGAUAGAGGUAGGCAGUUAGUCGCUGUUGGACGCCCGAAAUAGACGUGCCAUCGCCGCUCGUGCAGAAGGUUGAUCUAAUGAAGCUGCUGGCCACACGGAGUGAGUGCAGGUGCCGUACCGAAGGACUCGGUUCGGGCCGAGCAGAAUCAGCUCGAAGAUCUGUAGCAGAACGUGGCCGAUUCUGAGUCCUGCCGGCAGUUUCGUGAGUCAAAAGAAUAAUUUUUAAGACAAUGGGUUUAACGGUGUCUUGAUAUUUAUGAGACGUGAUUAAAAUCAAUGCAAUUUACCUAGUAGAUUUUUGCAUAUACACUGAGAGGAAGAACGGUUUAUUUCAUUACAAAUUAGAGUCACU